rnacentral:rRNA from 1 species
GGGGAAUAUUGGACAAUGGGGGAAACCCUGAUCCAGCCAUGCCGCGUGAGUGAUGAAGGCCUUAGGGUUGUAAAGCUCUUUGAGUGGGGAAGAUAAUGACGGUACCCACAGAACAAGCCCCGGCUAACUUCGUGCCAGCAGCCGCGGUAAUACGGGGGGGGCUAGCGUUGUUCGGAAUUACUGGGCGUAAAGCGCGCGUAGGCGGUCAUGCAAGUCAGGGGUGAAAUCCCAGAGCUUAACUCUGGAACUGCCUUUGAAACUGCAUGGCUAGAAUGUGAGAGGGGAUAGCGGAAUUCCUAAUGUAGAGGUGAAAUUCGUAGAUAUUAGGAGGAACACCGGUGGCGAAGGCGGCUAUCUGGCUCACUAUUGACGCUCUGGCGCGAAAGCGUGGGGAUCAAAC